CUGCAGAUGCUGAAAUCUGAAGAUGGGGAGUGAAAUAUAGAACCAGAGGGAGGAGCGGUGGUUAGAGGGAACGGAAGACUGGGAGGAGAAAAAUUGAAGUAUGGAGUAUGGAACAGGUGGAGGGGAAUUUACCUAUUUGAUCCAUGUCUGAA